GGGCCCGAGCGGUAGCGCCUUGUGGCGCUGACCGGGCUGCGGGAGGGGCUCGGGCGAAGGCGCUGACUGUCCCGCCACCGCUCUUGGCAAGUGAGUCCGCCUGCGUCCCCAGACUCUGCUGCUGACCUCUUCCGGCUACUCCCCGUCUACCUGUGACCCCAUAAGUCCCCGUCCGUCCCCUCCCUUCCCGCUUCAUCCCUCUGCAUCGCCUUCCGUCCCCGAGGCUUUCAGAGGCUCCUCCUGCUCAGCCCCCCUCCGUCUCCCUGCGUCCCCAUACCCUCUGUGGCUCCAGCUCUGGCUCCUCCCCGUCUCCCUCCUUCCCCUUCGUCCCCCUGCCUACCCGCUUUGUAGCUCUCGGUCCCUCUGCGUCCCCUUACGCCCCCUUCCUUCCCGCUCCGUCCCCUUGUAUCCCCCUGCCCCUGAUUCCCAGACUUUCUGCAGCUCCAGCUCUGUCUCCUCCCCGUCACCGUCACCCUUCUAAUCUGUGUCUCCUUCAAUCCCACCCAGACCCCCACCGUCCCCCUGCGCACCCAGGCUGUUUGUGGCUCCUGCUUCUCCUCUGGUUCCACACUGUCCCCUUCUGUCCCCCUCCAUCCUCCACCAUCCCUCUGUCUCUGCAGCUCCUGCCCCUCCUCCAGGUCCACCCUGUCCCCUUCAGUUCCCCUGUGUCCCCUGCAUCCCCAGCCUCUCCAUAGCUCCUGUACCUUGCUCCUCUAACCCGUUCCGCGAGCUCCUUCGCCACCGCAGUCCUUCUGGGCCCUGAUCUCUCUGCAGGGUGAUUCUGUCCCCCACGGAACACACAGCCGCACUGUCCCUCCACAGGGCCGUCACCAAUACCAGGCUUCUCCCUGUCCCCAGGGCCUCAGGCAGCAGAGGCCUCCACCAGCUGAAAGCCCCAACAAGGGGGCGGGCCAGCACUGCCCAGAGCCUGGGCCUUGGCUUCAGGGAGCUUCUGGAUUGGAGCAUCCCUAAUCUGUGACUGUGCAACCAAGAGCUCUGACUCUGAGUGGCUCAAAGCAGGCAGUUUACCUUCCAGUUGCUGAGGCCAGAAAUCCAUGAGCCAGUGUAGGUGUGUGGUCCUGGGUAGGGUCUCCCCUGAGGUGGUCCUCAAACCGUCAGCCCGGCUGCAUCGCCUGGAACCUGGCCUGGGGCCGGAGGACUUCCUCCCUAGAGGGUGUCCGUGAGUGGCUGGCAGUCAGUGCAGACUGCCUCGGUUCUCCUCGCAGGGCCUGCAGUUCCUGAGGGCCUUCCCAGCAGGCCCAACUUUAUAGGGUUACUAGAGAGAAAAACGGAGAGAGACAACGAGCGAAAUUAAAGAGAGAGCCAGUGAGCACAGUGUAUGAGACAGAAGCUGCAGACCUGUCGCCACCUCAUUUUGGAAUUCUUGGACGUUUUCUUAUUGCUGUCAUAGUCCAUUAGUCACUCCCCGGAAGGGGAUUCCACAAAGCCAGGAAAAUAGGAGAGAAUGUUGGAGGUCAUCUUAGAGGUGCCCACCACUGACCUUGGGGCCGGUCAGCAUGGUGUUCGCCCUCCUCCUGGGCCCCACCCCUGCACUGAGGAGGAGGCUCUCCAUCAGAGGUUCUGAUUGCACACUGAUGAUCUCUCACGUCCUGGAAUGUGUUUCCAUGUUGCCUUCCUCCGUGGUGUGGGACACAUUUGUGUAGAUGAAUGGAGCACAGCAUACCAUUGCGUAUCCUUCACUUACUGGUUGACACGUACACCUUGCCGUCAUAAGUCUGACACCCGAAAUGCUGAUACCAGCCAAUCAACACCAGUUUGCAAACCAAGUACGGGAUGACCCUGCCCAGCGUCGGUAUGGAAGAUCCUGCUCAUGGAAUACUUCGAUCUCAACUCUGAACAGGGGUUACAGGCCCCUGUGUAAAGGAACAAGGCUGUUAUGGAGGGAGCCCAGAGAGCAGAUUCAGUCAGAGAGGGUAUAGUUGUGCUUGGAAGGGAAACCAGGUCCUAUGAGCAGAUCUCAGAUCUUUCAGAGUCUCCAGAAUGGGACCAGCAGUGAGAUGCAUUUCAUCUGGUAACUACAUCCUCAACAUGCACACAUAUCUGUAUACCUACCCUCCAUUGUGAUACUGUAUUGUCUUCCAGUAGGUAACUUGUUUUCAACUCUUGUUAUAAUCCACCAAAUAGAUUCCAUCACCUAAACGUG